GGGGUUCAGUGGUCGCGGCAGCCACGGAGCGGCGCAGUGUGUGUGUGUGUGUGUGUGUGUGUGUGUGUUUGGGGCGGCUCCAGUUUCAAACACAGCGCCCAUCUUUAACACAACACAACCGGACAAGCUCCGUCCCGUAGCGAGAUACCGCCGUUCAUGCAUGACGUGAAGUCUAGGUGAUGAGGAAAGACAACAAGAGAGAGGAAGGACACACAAGAUGAUCGAAGCAAUGGAUACCCAGCGCUGUCUGCAGGCGGUGGAGAGGUUACAGUCUCGCUUGAAAGAAAAGGGAGCAGAUGUUCCUGCCGAGGAGAAGCUGAAUCUUCUGAAGGCGGUCCUGCAGAGUCCUCUGUUUCACCAGAUCCUCGCCCUGCAGAAAUCAGUGCAGCAUCUGAAGGAG
rnacentral:lncRNA from 1 species